GUUUGAUCCUGGCUCAGGACGAACGCUGGCGGCGUGCUUAACACAUGCAAGUCGAACGGAAAGGCCCUGCUUUUGUGGGGUGCUCGAGUGGCGAACGGGUGAGUAACACGUGGGCAACCUGCCCAAAAGAGGGGGAUAACACUUGGAAACAGGUGCUAAUACCGCAUAACCAUAGUUACCGCAUGGUAACUAUGUAAAAGGUGGCUAUGCUACCGCUUUUGGAUGGGCCCGCGGCGCAUUAGCUAGUUGGUGAGGUAAAGGCUUACCAAGGCAAUGAUGCGUAGCCGAACUGAGAGGUUGAUCGGCCACAUUGGGACUGAGACACGGCCCAAACUCCUACGGGAGGCAGCAGUAGGGAAUCUUCCACAAUGGGCGAAAGCCUGAUGGAGCAACGCCGCGUGGGUGAAGAAGGUCUUCGGAUCGUAAAACCCUGUUGUUAGAGAAGAAAGUGCGUGAGAGUAACUGUUCACGUUUCGACGGUAUCUAACCAGAAAGCCACGGCUAACUACGUGCCAGCAGCCGCGGUAAUACGUAGGUGGCAAGCGUUAUCCGGAUUUAUUGGGCGUAAAGGGAACGCAGGCGGUCUUUUAAGUCUGAUGUGAAAGCCUUCGGCUUAACCGGAGUAGUGCAUUGGAAACUGGGAGACUUGAGUGCAGAAGAGGAGAGUGGAACUCCAUGUGUAGCGGUGAAAUGCGUAGAUAUAUGGAAGAACACCAGUGGCGAAAGCGGCUCUCUGGUCUGUAACUGACGCUGAGGUUCGAAAGCGUGGGUAGCAAACAGGAUUAGAUACCCUGGUAGUCCACGCCGUAAACGGUGGAUGCUGGAUGUGGGGCCCGUUCCACGGGUUCCGUGUCGGAGCUAACGCGUUAAGCAUCCCGCCUGGGGAGUACGGCCGCAAGGCUAAAACUCAAAGGAAUUGACGGGGGCCCGCACAAGCGGCGGAGCAUGCGGAUUAAUUCGAUGCAACGCGAAGAACCUUACCUGGGCUUGACAUGUUCCCGACGGCCGUAGAGAUACGGCUUCCCUUCGGGGCGGGUUCACAGGUGGUGCAUGGUCGUCGUCAGCUCGUGUCGUGAGAUGUUGGGUUAAGUCCCGCAACGAGCGCAACCCUUAUUGUUAGUUGCCAGCAUUAAGUUGGGCACUCUAGCAAGACUGCCGGUGACAAACCGGAGGAAGGUGGGGAUGACGUCAAAUCAUCAUGCCCCUUAUGACCUGGGCUACACACGUGCUACAAUGGACGGUACAACGAGUCGCAAGACCGCGAGGUUUAGCAAAUCUCUUAAAGCCGUUCUCAGUUCGGAUUGUAGGCUGCAACUCGCCUACAUGAAGUCGGAAUCGCUAGUAAUCGCGGAUCAGCAUGCCGCGGUGAAUACGUUCCCGGGCCUUGUACACACCGCCCGUCACACCACGAAAGUUGGUAACACCCGAAGCCGGUGGGGUAACCGAAAGGAGCCAGCCGUCUAAGGUGGGGCCGAUGAUUGGGGUGAAG
rnacentral:rRNA from 1 species